GAUGAAGAACGUAGCGAAAUGCGAUAAGUAAUGUGAAUUGCAGAAUUCAGUGAAUCAUCGAAUCUUUGAACGCACAUUGCGCCCCUUGGUAUUCCGAGGGGCAUGCCUGUUCGAGCGUCAUUAUAACCCUCAAGCUCAGCUUGGUGUUGGGGCCUGCUGCACUGGCAGCCCUUAAAAUCAGUGGCGGCGCCAUCUGGCUCUAAGCGUAGUAAUUCUUCUCGCUAUGGAGUCCUGGUGGAUGCUUGCCAUCAACCCCCAAUUUUUCUAUGGUUGACCUCGGAUCAGGUAGGGAUACCCGCUGAACUUAAGCAUAUCAAAAGCGGGGA
rnacentral:misc_RNA from 1 species